rnacentral:rRNA from 1 species
UACGAAGGGGGCUAGCGUUGUUCGGAAUCACUGGGCGUAAAGCGCACGUAGGCGGAUCUUUAAGUCAGGGGUGAAAUCCUGGAGCUCAACUCCAGAACUGACUUUGAUACUGAGGAUCUUGAGUUCGGGAGAGGUGAGUGGAACUGCGAGUGUAGAGGUGAAAUUCGUAGAUAUUCGCAAGAACACCAGUGGCGAAGGCGGCUCACUGGCCCGAUACUGACGCUGAGGCACGAAAGCGUGGGGAGCAAACAGG